rnacentral:rRNA from 1 species
CAGCAGCCACGGUAAUACGAAGGGUGCAAGCGUUACUCGGAAUUACUGGGCGUAAAGCGUGCGUAGGUGGUUGUUUAAGUCUGUUGUGAAAGCCCUGGGCUCAACCUGGGAAUUGCAGUGGAUACUGGGCAACUAGAGUGUGGUAGAGGGUAGUGGAAUUCCCGGUGUAGCAGUGAAAUGCGUAGAGAUCGGGAGGAACAUCCAUGGCGAAGGCAGCUACCUGGACCAACACUGACACUGAGGCACGAAAGCGUGGGGAGCAAACAGGAUUAGAUACCCCCGUAGUCCCUGUCUCUUAUAC